CCUACGGGAGGCAGCAGUGAGGAAUAUUGGUCAAUGGGCGCGAGCCUGAACCAGCCAAGUCGCGUGAGGGAAGACGGUCCUAUGGAUUGUAAACCUCUUUUAUAUGGGAAUAAAAUGUUCCACGUGUGGGAUUUUGUAUGUACCAUAUGAAUAAGGAUCGGCUAACUCCGUGCCAGCAGCCGCGGUAAUACGGAGGAUCCGAGCGUUAUCCGGAUUUAUUGGGUUUAAAGGGAGCGUAGGUGGAUUGUUAAGUCAGUUGUGAAAGUUUGCGGCUCAACCGUAAAAUUGCAGUUGAAACUGGCAGUCUUGAGUACAGUAGAGGUGGGCGGAAUUCGUGGUGUAGCGGUGAAAUGCUUAGAUAUCACGAAGAACUCCGAUUGCGAAGGCAGCUCACUGGACUGCAACUGACACUGAGGCUCGAAAGUGUGGGUAUCAAACAGGAUUAGAUACCCGUGUAGUC
rnacentral:rRNA from 1 species